ACGGGUGAGUAAUGCCUAGGAAUCUGCCUGGUAGUGGGGGAUAACGUUCGGAAACGGACGCUAAUACCGCAUACGUCCUACGGGAGAAAGCAGGGGACCUUCGGGCCUUGCGCUAUCAGAUGAGCCUAGGUCGGAUUAGCUAGUUGGUGAGGUAAUGGCUCACCAAGGCGACGAUCCGUAACUGGUCUGAGAGGAUGAUCAGUCACACUGGAACUGAGACACGGUCCAGACUCCUACGGGAGGCAGCAGUGGGGAAUAUUGGACAAUGGGCGAAAGCCUGAUCCAGCCAUGCCGCGUGUGUGAAGAAGGUCUUCGGAUUGUAAGGCACUUUAAGUUGGGAGGAAGGGCAUUAACCUAAUACGUUAGUGUUUUGACGUUACCGACAGAAUAAGCACCGGCUAACUCUGUGCCAGCAGCCGCGGUAAUACAGAGGGUGCAAGCGUUAAUCGGAAUUACUGGGCGUAAAGCGCGCGUAGGUGGUUUGUUAAGUUGGAUGUGAAAUCCCCGGGCUCAACCUGGGAACUGCAUUCAAAACUGACUGACUAGAGUAUGGUAGAGGGUGGUGGAAUUUCCUGUGUAGCGGUGA
rnacentral:rRNA from 1 species